UACGUAGGGUGCAAGCGUUAAUCGGAAUACUGGGCGUAAAGCGUGCGCAGGCGGUGAUGUAAGACAGGUGUGAAAUCCCCGGGCUUAACCUGGGAACUGCAUUUGUGACUGCAUCGCUGGAGUGCGGCAGAGGGGGAUGGAAUUCCGCGUGUAGCAGUGAAAUGCGUAGAUAUCGAGAGGAACACCAGUGGCGAAGGCGAGUCCCUGGACAACACCUGACACUGAGGCACGAAAGCUAGGGGAGCAAACAGG
rnacentral:rRNA from 1 species